rnacentral:rRNA from 1 species
GAUGAACGCUAGCUACAGGCUUAACACAUGCAAGUCGAGGGGUAACGAGAGGAAGGCUUGCUUUCCUUGUCGACGACCGGCGCACGGGUGAGUAACGCGUAUCCAACCUGCCCCCAACUAGGGAAUAACCUUGCGAAAGUAAGACUAAUACCCUAUAAUUUCCUCAGAUGUCAUCUGACGAGGAAUAAAGAUUUAUCGGUUGUGGAUGGGGAUGCGUCUGAUUAGCUUGUUGGCGGGGUAACGGCCCACCAAGGCAACGAUCAGUAGAGGUUCUGAGAGGAAGGUCCCCCACACUGGAACUGAGACACGGUCCAAACUCCUACGGGAGGCAGCAGUGAGGAAUAUUGGUCAAUGGGCGGAAGCCUGAACCAGCCAAGUAGCGUGCAGGAUGACGGCCCUAUGGGUUGUAAACUGCUUUUAUACAGGAAUAAAGUUAGCCACGUGUGGUUAUUUGUAGGUACUGUAUGAAUAAGGACCGGCUAAUUCCGUGCCAGCAGCCGCCGUAA